UAAGUGAUAGUGAAUCUGGUGGCUCAACCAUACAGGCUAUUAUUCAAACUGGCAAACUCGAGAGUGGUAGAGGUCACUGGAAUUUCUUGUGUAGGAGUGAAAUCCGUAGAUAUAAGAAGGAACACCGAUGGCGUAGGCAGGUGGCUGGACCAUUUCUGACGCUAAGGCACGAAAGCGUGGGGAGCGAACCGGAUUAGAUACCCGGGUAGUCCACGCCGUAAACGAUGGAUACUG
rnacentral:rRNA from 1 species